rnacentral:rRNA from 1 species
CCAAUAGCGUAUAUUAAAGUUGUUGCAGUUAAAAAGCUCGUAGUUGAAUUUUGGAUUCUUCCAAUUGGUCCAUCUUUUAGAUGAGUACUGGUUGUGUGGGGUCUAUCCGCCUGGUGAUACGUAAUGUCCUUUAUUGGAUGUUGCGGGUAGUCAGGACCUUUACCUUGAAAAAAUUAGAGUGUUUAAAGAAGGCUUAUGCCGGAAUACAUUAGCAUGGAAUAAUAGAAUAGGACGAAGUUGUUUUAUUUUGUUGGUUUCUAGGACAACCGUAAUGAUUAAUAGGGAUAGUUGGGGGCAUUAGUAUUCAAUUGUCAGAGGUGAAAUUCUUGGAUUUAUUGAAGACUAACUACUGCGAAAGCAUUUGCCAAGGAUGUUUUCAUUAAUCAAGAACGAAAGUUAGGGGAUCGAAGACGAUCAGAUACCGUCGUAGUCUUAACCAUAAACUAUGCCGACUAGGGAUCGGGCGAUGUUGUUUCCAUGACUCGCUCGGCACCUUAUG